AGUGAACGCUGGCGGUAGGCCUAACACAUGCAAGUCGAACGGCAGCACAGUAAGAGCUUGCUCUUACGGGUGGCGAGUGGCGGACGGGUGAGGAAUACAUCGGAAUCUACUUUUUCGUGGGGGAUAACGUAGGGAAACUUACGCUAAUACCGCAUACGACCUACGGGUGAAAGCAGGGGAUCUUCGGACCUUGCGCGAUUGAAUGAGCCGAUGUCGGAUUAGCUAGUUGGCGGGGUAAAGGCCAACCAAGGCGACGAUCCGUAGCUGGUCUGAGAGGAUGAUCAGCCACACUGGAACUGAGACACGGUCCAGACUCCUACGGGAGGCAGCAGUGGGGAAUAUUGGACAAUGGGCGCAAGCCUGAUCCAGCCAUACCGCGUGGGUGAAGAAGGCCUUCGGGUUGUAAAGCCCUUUUGUUGGGAAAGAAAAGCAGCAGGUUAAUACCCCGCUGUUCUGACGGUACCCAAAGAAUAAGCACCGGCUAACUGCGU
rnacentral:rRNA from 1 species